rnacentral:rRNA from 1 species
GACGAACGCUGGCGGCGUGCCUAAUACAUGCAAGUAGAACGCUGAAGAGAGGAGCUUGCUCUUCUUGGCUGAGUUGCGAACGGGUGAGUAACGCGUAGGUAACCUGCCUUGUAGCGGGGGAUAACUAUUGGAAACGAUAGCUAAUACCGCAUAACAAUGGAUUACACAUGUCAUUUAUUUGAAAGGGGCAAUUGCUCCACUACAAGAUGGACCUGCGUUGUAUUAGCUAGUAGGUGAGGUAAUGGCUCACCUAGGCGACGAUACAUAGCCGACCUGAGAGGGGGAUAGGCCACACUGGGACUGAGACACGGCCCAGACUCCUACGGGAGGCAGCAGUAGGGAAUCUUCGGCAAUGGGGGCAACCCUGACCGAGCAACGCCGCGUGAGUGAAGAAGGUUUUCGGAUCGUAAAGCUCUGUUGUAAGUCAAGAACGGGUGUGAGAGUGGAAAGUUCACACUGUGACGGUAGCUUACCAGAAAGGGACGGCUAACUACGUG